rnacentral:rRNA from 1 species
GCUAGUAAUCGCGAAUCAGAAUGUCGCGGUGAAUACGUUCCCGGGCCUUGUACACACCGCCCGUCACACCAUGAGGGUCGAUAACACCCGAAGCCUGUGAGCUAACCUUUUAGGAGGCAGCAGUCGAAGGUGGGGUUGAUGAUUGGGGUGAAGUCGUAACAAGGUAUC